GACGAACCGUGCAAACGUUGUUCGGAGUUACUGGGCGUAAAGGGUGUGUAGGCGGUUCUUUAAGUUUGGUGUGAAAUCUCCCGGCUCAACCGGGAGGGUGCGCCGAAUACUGAGGGACUAGAGUGCGGGAGAGGAAAGUGGAAUUCCUGGUGUAGCGGUGAAAUGCGUAGAUAUCAGGAGGAACACCGGUGGUGUAGACGGCUUUCUGGACCGUAACUGACGCUGAGACACGAAAGCGUGGGUAGCAAACAGG
rnacentral:rRNA from 1 species